AUUUGACCUCAAAUCAGGUAGGACUACCCGCUGAACUUAAGCAUAUCAAUAAGCGGAGGAAAAGAAACUAACAAGGAUUCCCCUAGUAACUGCGAGUGAAGCGGGAAAAGCUCAAAUUUAAAAUCUGGUGGUCUUUGGCCAUCCGAGUUGUAAUCUAGAGAAGUGUUACCCGCGUCGGACCGUGUACAAGUCUCCUGGAAUGGAGCGUCAUAGAGGGUGAGAAUCCCGUCUUUGACACGGACUACCGAGGCUUUGUGGUGCGCUCUCAACGAGUCGAGUUGUUUGGGAAUGCAGCUCAAAAUGGGUGGUAAAUUCCAUCUAAAGCUAAAUAUUGGCGAGAGACCGAUAGCGAACAAGUACCGUGAGGGAAAGAUGAAAAGAACUUUGGAAAGAGAGUUAAACAGUACGUGAAAUUGCUAAAAGGGAAACGCUUGAAGUCAGUCGCGUUGGCCGGAAAUCAGCCUUGCUUUUGCUGGGUGUACUUUCUGGUUGACGGGCCAGCAUCAGUUUUGACCGGUGGAAAAAGUUCAAGGGAAUGUGGCAUCUUCGGAUGUGUUAUAGCCCUUGGUCGUAUACAUCGGUUGGGACUGAGGAACUCAGCACGCCGAAAGGCCGGGUCUUUGACCACGUUCGUGCUUAGGAUGCUGGCAUAAUGGCUUUAAUCGACCCGUCUG
rnacentral:rRNA from 1 species